CUCCGUGACUGUGUGUCGCCUGUCACAUGCUGUAAAUACCAGAGGGAUUAAGACGGAGUGACACACUGUCAAGAAACAGGACGAGUAUUCAGCAACCACUAUAAACUGUUUGGUACAUCCACACAGCUAUACUUGUCUGGUAACUCCACUGGAGAAGAUGUCUCAAGUAACCUAAGGCAAGCACUAUUUACUCUGCCACAUCAUCCACCUGCCACAGUGCAUGAGAUCACCAGCACAUUACUACCCGACAAAUCCAGAGCUGCUUUUAUGAGGUGCGAUUGCUUCGCCCUGAGAACUCGGGGGAAUUCAAGAUUUUUUCCAAAGGGAGGAGAAAUGGUUGUUUUGGAAUGAAACAGACACUCCUUCCCAGCUGAAUGAGGGAGAUGGCCUGAUAAGUGGGGAGCCCCUGUGGCCAAAAAGGCAUCUGCUGCUCAUGCUGAUGUCAUCUGGAGAUAAUAACUGGGCCCAGCGUGGCACCGGGCCACAGCCAGCGUCUCAGACCCCCUCCACCCUGCAUGGGCUCAGUACGAUCUGCCAAACCGCAUCUGGGUGGACUGAAGACCUGGCAACCCAAAGCUGGGGAGAGGAUGGGGGUGUCGGAGACAUGUAAAGCGUAGCCUCUAGGCUGUUGGGCACCAACAGUGAACAGUUAACAAGUUACUCUGGAUGGUUUCAGGACCUGGCAGCCCCCAAUGGAGCGGAUAUACUGUUUCCU